ensembl:lncRNA
AUAGUUUCUCUAUUCCUUUAUCGUUAUAGUUGUGGUGUGGACUCUGCUGUUCUUUAAUACUGAAAACGAUUUUUAGAACUAUAUCUUUAUCGUUAUCUUUAUAGUUAUCGUCCUUGGUGUGAACGGGCCUUUAUUGUCAUAUAUUAUUAUUUGAAGAUUAACCAGCUCAGCAACGCUAAUACGGCUGACAGAUAAAGGACACUCGCGCCGUGGAGAAACUAAAGCAACAGAGCAAAGGCAGCGUGGAGAGCUGGUAUGUAGAAGGCAAGAUGGCUGCAAUACUACGAGCCUAAAUUGAAGCAAGAAAAGGAGCCUUAGCAGGUGCAGAAGGCAGCAGUCCCCAUCAUUGCUGUUGAGGAGGAAGAGGAAAUGUCACGAGG